rnacentral:rRNA from 1 species
GUUAUACUUUUUGAGCAAAUAUUUCUUAUUUUUUAAAUGUUGGUUUUCUUUUUAUGAUCUUAAUAUACAUCAAUAAAGUGAAAUUUUUGAUGUUAAACUUAUUCUUUUUGGGGAUUUUAAUAAUUUUUAAAUAAAACUAGGAUUAGAUACCCUACUAUUUUAUUUUUUCAUAAUUAGGUAGUAAAGAUANUCUUGAAACCUAAAUGAUUNGGCGGUAUUUUAANUAAUUGGAGGAACUUGUUUAUUAAUCGAUAACCCUCGUUCAAUGUUACCUAACUUUAUAUUUGUAUACCGCCGUUUUUAGAUUAUGUUUAUAAAUGAUGAUCCCUAAUAAUGAAUUUCGUUAUAGCAGGUCAAGGUUCAAUUUAUUUAGGUUUAAAGUGAGUUACAUUAUAAUNANAUACNCGUUUUAAAAUAUGAAAAAUUUUAAUAAGAUGGAUUCAAAAGUAAUUCAGAUUAAAA